rnacentral:ribozyme from 1 species
AGUUUUGAGUUUUUCACCGUCAUCCUUUUUUGCGCGUCAUCUAUACCCCAUUUUCUGCAUCAUUUUUCACCUCCUGAAUUUUAA